UUAGUAACGCGUGGGAACGUACCCUUUUCUACGGAAUAGCCUCGGGAAACUGAGAGUAAUACCGUAUACGCCCUUAGGGGGAAAGAUUUAUCGGAGAAGGAUCGGCCCGCGUUAGAUUAGAUAGUUGGUGGGGUAAUGGCCUACCAAGUCUACGAUCUAUAGCUGGUUUGAGAGGAUGAUCAGCAACACUGGGACUGAGACACGGCCCAGACUCCUACGGGAGGCAGCAGUGGGGAAUCUUAGACAAUGGGCGCAAGCCUGAUCUAGCCAUGCCGCGUGAGUGAUGAAGGCCUUAGGGUCGUAAAGCUCUUUCGCCUGUGAAGAUAAUGACUGUAGCAGGUAAAGAAACCCCGGCUAACUCCGUGCCAGCAGCCGCGGUAAUACGGAGGGGGUUAGCGUUGUUCGGAAUUACUGGGCGUAAAGCGCGCGUAGGCGGACAUUUAAGUCAGAGGUGAAAUCCCAGGGCUCAACCCUGGAACUGCCUUUGAUACUGGGUGUCUUGAGUUCGAGAGAGGUGAGUGGAAUUCCGAGUGUAGAGGUGAAAUU
rnacentral:rRNA from 1 species